UACGUAGGUGGCGAGCGUUGUCCGGAUUUACUGGGCGUAAAGAGCGCGCAGGCGGUCGUACAAGUCGCGUGUGAAAGCCCCCGGCUCAACUGGGGAGGGUCACGCGAUACUGUUCGACUCGAAGGCAGGAGAGGGUAGUGGAAUUCCCGGUGUAGUGGUGAAAUGCGUAGAUAUCGGGAGGAACACCAGUGGCGAAGGCGAGUCCCUGGACAACACCUGACACUGAGGCACGAAAGCUAGGGGAGCAAACAGG
rnacentral:rRNA from 1 species